AUUGAACGCUGGCGGCAGGCCUAACACAUGCAAGUCGAGCGGUAGAGAGAAGCUUGCUUCUCUUGAGAGCGGCGGACGGGUGAGUAAUGCCUAGGAAUCUGCCUGGUAGUGGGGGAUAACGUUCGGAAACGGACGCUAAUACCGCAUACGUCCUACGGGAGAAAGCAGGGGACCUUCGGGCCUUGCGCUAUCAGAUGAGCCUAGGUCGGAUUAGCUAGUUGGUGAGGUAAUGGCUCACCAAGGCGACGAUCCGUAACUGGUCUGAGAGGAUGAUCAGUCACACUGGAACUGAGACACGGUCCAGACUCCUACGGGAGGCAGCAGUGGGGAAUAUUGGACAAUGGGCGAAAGCCUGAUCCAGCCAUGCCGCGUGUGUGAAGAAGGUCUUCGGAUUGUAAAGCACUUUAAGUUGGGAGGAAGGGCAGUAAAUUAAUACUUUGCUGUUUUGACGUUACCGACAGAAUAAGCACCGGCUAACUCUGUGCCAGCAGCCGCGGUAAUACAGAGGGUGCAAGCGUUAAUCGGAAUUACUGGGCGUAAAGCGCGCGUAGGUGGUUUGUUAAGUUGGAUGUGAAAUCCCCGGGCUCAACCUGGGAACUGCAUUCAAAACUGACUGACUAGAGUAUGGUAGAGGGUGGUGGGAUUUCCUGUGUAGCGGUGAAAUGCGUAGAUAUAGGAAGGAACACCAGUGGCGAAGGCGACCACCUGGACUAAUACUGACACUGAGGUGCGAAAGCGUGGCGAGCAAACAGGAUUAGAUACCCUGGUAGUCCACGCCGUAAACGAUGUCAACUAGCCGUUGGAAGCCUUGAGCUUUUAGUGGCGCAGCUAACGCAUUAAGUUGACCGCCUGGGGAGUACGGCCGCAAGGUUAAAACUCAAAUGAAUUGACGGGGGCCCGCACAAGCGGUGGAGCAUGUGGUUUAAUUCGAAGCAACGCGAAGAACCUUACCAGGCCUUGACAUCCAAUGAACUUUCUAGAGAUAGAUUGGUGCCUUCGGGAACAUUGAGACAGGUGCUGCAUGGCUGUCGUCAGCUCGUGUCGUGAGAUGUUGGGUUAAGUCCCGUAACGAGCGCAACCCUUGUCCUUAGUUACCAGCACGUAAUGGUGGGCACUCUAAGGAGACUGCCGGUGACAAACCGGAGGAAGGUGGGGAUGACGUCAAGUCAUCAUGGCCCUUACGGCCUGGGCUACACACGUGCUACAAUGGUCGGUACAGAGGGUUGCCAAGCCGCGAGGUGGAGCUAAUCCCAUAAAACCGAUCGUAGUCCGGAUCGCAGUCUGCAACUCGACUGCGUGAAGUCGGAAUCGCUAGUAAUCGCGAAUCAGAAUGUCGCGGUGAAUACGUUCCCGGGCCU
rnacentral:rRNA from 1 species